CACCGCCUGGGGAGUACGACCGCAAGGUUAAAACUCAAAUGAAUUGACGGGGACCCGCACAAGUAGUGGAGCAUGUGGUUUAAUUCGAAGAUACGCGCAGAACCUUACCAACACUUGACAUGUUCGUCGCGACUUUAAGAGAUUAAAGUUUUCGGUUCGGCCGGACGAAACACAGGUGCUGCAUGGCUGUCGUCAGCUCGUGUCGUGAGAUGUUGGGUUAAGUCCCGCAACGAGCGCAACCCUCACUUUUAGUUGCCAUCAUUUAGUUGGGCACUCUGAAAGAACUGCCAGUGAUAAGCUGGAGGAAGGUGGGGAUGACGUCAAGUCCUCAUGGCCCUUACGUGUUGGGCUACACACGUGCUACAAUGGCAUUUACAACAGGAAGCAAAAACGGCGACGUUAAGCAAAUCCUAAAAAAAUGCCUCAGUUCGGAUUGUACUCUGCAACUCGAGUACAUGAAGCUGGAAUUACUAGUAAUCGCGGAUCAGCGCGCCGCGGUGAAUACGUUCCCGGGUCUUGUACACACCGCCCGUCACACCAUGGGAGUUGGUUCUACCUUAAGGCAAAGGUUAAAACCUUUGACCACGGUAUAGUCAGCGACUGGGGUGAAGUCGUAACAAGGUAGCCGUAGGGGAACCUGCGGCUGGAUUACCUCCUUUCUAAGGAUGAUUAAAAAAAAUUUUUUAAUCUAAAUAAUUAACAGGUUAAUGUUGACCGUCCUCAUUUCUCUUUUCAAUAUUGUUACUCUUGGUCUCUAAAUACGGGCCGGUAGCUCAGUUGGUUAGAGCACACCCUUGAUAAGGGUGGGGUCGAAAGUUCGAGUCUUUCUCGGCCCACCAAUUAAAGAUCAUGGGGGAUUAGCUCAGCUGGGAGAGCGCCUGAUUUGCAUUCAGGAGGUCAGCGGUUCGAUCCCGCUAUCCUCCACCAAAACACUUAGUUAUAAAAAAUUGUGAAUAAUUAAUAAUUAAUAUCAAUAUCUAUAUCCGAACAUUAGUAAUGUUAUUAGCUAAUGUUCAAAAUAAAAAUUUGAUUCAACACAGAAUUUUUUUCUG
rnacentral:sRNA from 1 species